UGCAUAUCAAAAAGCGGAGGAAAAGAAACCAACAGGGAUUGCCUCAGUAACGGCGAGUGAAGCGGCAAAAGCUCAAAUUUGAAACCCUCGGGAUUGUAAUUUGAAGAUUUGGCAUUGGAGAAAGCUAACCCAAGUUGCUUGGAAUAGUACGUCAUAGAGGGUGACAACCCCGUCUGGCUAACCGUUCUCCAUGUAUUGCCUUAUCAAAGAGUCGAGUUGUUUGGGAAUGCAGCUCAAAGUGGGUGGUAAACUCCAUCUAAAGCUAAAUACUGGUGAGAGACCGAUAGCGAACAAGUACUGUGAAGGAAAGGUGAAAAGAACUUUGAAAAGAGAGUGAAAUAGUAUGUGAAAUUGUUGAUAGGGAAGGAAAUGAGUGGAGAGUGGCCGAGGUUUCAGCCGCCCCUCGUGGGCGGUGUACUGCCGACGCCGAGUCAUCGAUAGCGAGACGAGGGUUACAAAUGGGAGCGCCUUCGGGCGUUCUCCCCUAACCCUCCACACUGCCACCGACGACAUAAUCCACCCAUUUCACCCGUCUUGAACAACGG
rnacentral:rRNA from 1 species